rnacentral:lncRNA from 1 species
GUUUAUGGCCUCUCAAUUCUCCAGGAGUAUAUGGAGGUGCCUCUGAAAAUCUCCAAGUAAUGCUCGUAGAGAGGUGAUGGUGGCAGCAGCAUCACUACCUCAGCUGGAAUGAGAGCUCCAGAAUUAUUGUGGGCAUAUCCCAAGGUUUCAGCUAGCAAGAACCCUGGUGGGUCUACCUGGCAUUGUCUACUCCAUUGGACUCCCAGAAGCUGCUCUGCCAUCUGUCCGUACCCUGAAUAUCAUCGGCCUGUUAUAAGCACAAGUCAGAGCGACUACAAAGAAGAAACGAAGGAAGAAAUGCAUCUGGGCUUGUAUCCAAUUGGAUUACUGUCAACCUCAUCCAGCUGAGAAGGGAAAAGACAGAUGUACUGAUGGUCACCGAAAUGAGAUGGAACAAAAGACAACAACCUGAGCAGAGACGAAAAGCAGUCAAGACCAAAGGUUUCUUCGACUCCAAACCACAGCCACGUCUCCAUCAUACAGACCAUCCUUUGCAACUUCAGCUUGUGUCAAACAUCCCCUUUGGCAAAACAGCUCUUGCAAUGGAGCUAUCUCCA